GAUGAACGCUGGCGGCGUGCCUAAUACAUGCAAGUCGAGCGAACAGACGAGGCGCUUGCUCCUCUGACGUUAGCGGCGGACGGGUGAGUAACACGUGGAUAACCUACCUAUAAGACUGGGAUAACUUCGGGAAACCGGAGCUAAUACCGGAUAAUAUAUUGAACCGCAUGGUUCAAUGGUGAAAGACGGUUUUGCUGUCACUUGUAGAUGGUACCGCGCCGCAUUAGUUAGUUGGUAAGGUAACGGCUUACCAAGGCAACGAUGCGUAGCCGACCUGAGAGGGUGAUCGGCCACACUGGAACUGAGACGCGGUCCAGACUCCUAAGGUAGGCAGCAGUAGGGAAUCGUCCGCAAUGGGCGGAAACCUUACGGAGCAACGCCGCGUGAGUGAUGAAGGUCUUCGGAUCGUAAAACUCUGUUAUUAGGGAAGAACAAAUGUGUAAGUAACUAUGCACGUCUUGACGGUACCUAAUCAGAAAGCCACGGCUAACUACGUG
rnacentral:rRNA from 1 species